GAACACAAAAUGGCGACACGUGGUUAGCAUUCGUCGCCAACGAGAAAUUGGGGUCGGCCCGAAAGCUCUAGAAUGCACCCCUCUUCCUCCCCGGGGCCUUCCACCUCCGCGAGUUUUAUGACUUAAAAAAGCCCACAGGCUGGUCUGAAGGUCGGAGGCCUAAUUUUAACGCGUUUUCCUCCCUUUAAUUUGAAACGGGAACGCGAAUGACUGUAAAAUGUGGGCACAAUAUUUAAUCUCUCGCCUUUUUAAAGCUUAAUAGUGGAUAAUAGGGGGGCAGUAUCAAGGGAUAAUUUGGGUCCCCACAGUACCAAAGCAUUUAGAAACCUCUGUUUAAUUUAAGGAAUGAGAUAAGUUACUGCUUUUCUAGACUUCCUAGCAUGGGCUGUUGUGCUGGAGAGAACGAGAGCUACGAAGAGACUACAGUGCCUCUGACUUUUUCAUAGGACAGUUGGCCGAGGAAGACAAACAUAAAGAUGAAGUGCUUAAUUCAAGGUCACACAAUGUCGGGGAUGGACCUCCAGAUUUCCUUACUGGUGGAGUCUCACUCUGUAGCCCAAGCUGGAGUGGCGUGAUCUCGACUCACUGCAACCUCCGCCUCCUGGGAUCAAGUGAUUCUCGUGCCUCAGCCUCCUGAGUAGCCGGGACUACAGGUACGCACU
rnacentral:lncRNA from 10 species